rnacentral:lncRNA from 1 species
GUAACUGGAUAUGACCCACAUAUCUGCUUUGAGCAAUAUAGAUGGUGUUUGAGGCUGUAACAUAUUGAAAUGUGGGACAAAGCAGUGGAAACAACUCAAAUGCUCAAGUCAGAGAUCCAAGCAUUGGAUGCUUAAAAAUGCCAGAGAGGCUGAUUUUUGAGACAAAAUAAUGCUUUGGUAGUUGAUUUGUUGAACAGCUACUGGUUGAUACGUUAGAUCCGCAUGGCCCC